GAUGAACGCUAGCGGCGUGCCUAAUACAUGCAAGUCGAGCGAACAGACGAGGAGCUUGCUCCUCUGACGUUAGCGGCGGACGGGUGAGUAACACGUGGAUAACCUACCUAUAAGACUGGGAUAACUUUGGGAAACCGGAGCUAAUACCGGAUAAUAUAUUGAACCGCAUGGUUCAAUAGUGAAAGACGGUUUUGCUGUCACUUAUAGAUGGAUCCGCGCCGCAUUAGCUAGUUGGUAAGGUAACGGCUUACCAAGGCGACGAUGCGUAGCCGACCUGAGAGGGUGAUCGGCCACACUGGAACUGAGACACGGUCCAGACUCCUACGGGAGGCAGCAGUAGGGAAUCUUCCGCAAUGGGCGAAAGCCUGACGGAGCAACGCCGCGUGAGUGAUGAAGGUCUUCGGAUCGUAAAACUCUGUUAUUAGGGAAGAACAAAUGUGUAAGUAACUAUGCACGUCUUGACGGUACCUAAUCAGAAAGCCACGGCUAACUACGUG
rnacentral:rRNA from 1 species